rnacentral:tRNA from 2 species
AUUCAAAUAGCUUAUGUAUAGAGUAUGACAUUGAAGAUGUCGGGGAGGUUUAUUAACCUUUGAAUA